rnacentral:rRNA from 1 species
GACGAACGCUGGCGGCGUGCCUAAUACAUGCAAGUAGAACGCUGAAGGAGGAGCUUGCUUCUCUGGAUGAGUUGCGAACGGGUGAGUAACGCGUAGGUAACCUGCCUGGUAGCGGGGGAUAACUAUUGGAAACGAUAGCUAAUACCGCAUAAGAGUAGAUGUCGCAUGACAUUUGCUUAAAAGGUGCAAUUGCAUCACUACCAGAUGGACCUGCGUUGUAUUAGCUAGUUGGUGAGGUAACGGCUCACCAAGGCAACGAUACAUAGCCGACCUGAGAGGGUGAUCGGCCACACUGGGACUGAGACACGGCCCAGACUCCUACGGGAGGCAGCAGUAGGGAAUCUUCGGCAAUGGACGGAAGUCUGACCGAGCAACGCCGCGUGAGUGAGAAGGUUUUCGGAUCGUAAAGCUCUGUUGUAAGAGAAGAACGAGUGUGAGAGUGGAAAGUUCACACUGUGACGGUAUCUUACCAGAAAGGGACGGCUAACUACGUG